rnacentral:scRNA from 1 species
CUCAAAUGCUGGCCCCUCCGGGAGCAUGGGGC